rnacentral:rRNA from 1 species
GGCGCACGGGUGCGUAACGCGUAUACAAUCUACCUUGUACAGGGGAAUAGCCCAGAGAAAUUUGGAUUAAUGCCCCAUAGUAUUAUGAAAUGGCAUCGUUUUAUAAUUAAAGCUUCGGCGGUACAAGAUGAGUAUGCGUUCUAUUAGCUAGAUGGUAAGGUAACGGCUUACCAUGGCUACGAUAGAUAGGGGUCCUGAGAGGGAGAUCCCCCACACUGGUACUGAGACACGGACCAGACUCCUACGGGAGGCAGCAGUGAGGAAUUUUCCGCAAUGGGCGAAAGCCUGACGGAGCAAUACCGCGUGAGGGAUGAAUGCCUUCGGGUUGUAAACCUCUUUUUUCAAGGAGGAAGUUCUGACGUGUACUUGAAGAAUAAGCAUCGGCUAACUCCGUGCCAGCAGCCGCGGUAAUACGGAGGAUGCAAGUGUUAUCCGAAAUUAUUGGGCGUAAAGAGUCUGUAGGUGGCUUUCAAAGUCUGAUGUUAAAUGUCAGGGCUUAACCCUGAACCUGCAUUAGAAACUAGUAAGCUUGAGUAGAGUCGAAGUAGAAGGAAUUUCCAGUGAAGCGGUGAAAUGCGUAGAUAUUGGAAGGAACACCAAUGGCGAAAGCAUUCUACUAGGCUCUUACUGACACUGAGAGACGAAAGCGAGGGUAGCAAAUGGGAUUAGAUACCCCAGUAGUCCUCGCUGUAAACGAUGGAUACUAAACAUUGCGUGCAUCGAUCCGCGUGGUGUUAUAGCUAACGCGUUAAGUAUCCCGCCUGGGGAGUACGCUCGCAAGGGUGAAACUUAAAGGAAUUGACGGGGGCCCGCACAAGCGGUGGAGCAUGUGGUUUAAUUCGAUG